rnacentral:lncRNA from 1 species
GUCCUUCAGGAACAUGCGGCCGCCGUGGGCGCACAGCACCUUGGUGAGGAAGGAGCACACUGUGGGCUCCGCCAUGGUCGCUGGCGCGGGCCCUGUGCGCGCGGCGCAGCGAGCCGGGGCGGGCAGGCUCCUCCCAGUCACGUCCACGAUUUCCAGCGAACAGCCCGGGGAUGGGCCUGGGCCUGGCGAGGGGUGGGCCUGCGGGAGGCCGGGCGAGGGGCGGCCCCGGCGCGUGGAAGCAGGGUACGGCGCCUGCGGAUCCCCUGGACGUGGACUCAGGCGGGGACAGCGUUGAUGGAGCGUCUGCUCCGCCCAGGCACCGUUCAGGGCGAAGCCUGGCCUUGAGGGGCUUGUAUAGUGGGAGUCACAAAGGACUCGCCAACAAGACAACUGGUAGUGCUAGGGAGGCCUGCGGAGAAGGAGAAAUAGGUAAAAGGUGGUAGGAGAAACGGGGUCUCCUCAUGUUGCCCAGGCUGGUCUCGAACUCCUCAAGCGAUCCACCUGCCUCAGCCUCCCAGAGCACUGGAAUUACAGGCGUGAGCCACCCCGCGGGGCCUGCUGAGCUUUAUUGGAAAGUGGCUAGUCCGAAUUGAGAUGUGAUAUAAGUGUGAAAUACACACACUAGAUUUUGAGGACUGAGAAUGAGAAAAAGAAUGUAAAAUAUCUCACUAACUUUAUAUGAAUCACAUGUUAAACAUAAUAUUUUGGAUAUAUUUGGAUAAAUAAAAUGUUAUGACAACUUCAUGUGUUGCUUCUACUUUCCUAAUGUAGCUAUGAGGAAAUUUUACAUUGCAAAUGUGGAUUACCUUAUUUUUGUUGAGCAGCACCAGUCUAGACCUGCCUUAAGCAUCCAUGCUUUUUGUCCAACACCUUGCUUGUUUCAUGAACGUUUGUUGAGC